rnacentral:rRNA from 1 species
AGAGUUUGAUCCUGGCUCAGAACGUACGCUGGCGGCACGCCUAACACAUGCAAGUCGAACGAAGUAGCAAUACUUAGUGGCAGACGGGUGAGUAACAUGUGGGUAUCUGCCCUUUGGCCUGGAAUAACACGAGGAAACUUGUGCUAAUACCGGAUAAGUCUUUACGGAGAAAGCUUUAUGCACCAUUGGAUGAGCCCGCACUUGAUUAGUUUGUUGGUGGGGUAAUGGCUCACCAAGACUGUGAUCAAUAGCUGAUUUGAGAGGAUGAUCAGCCACAUUGGGACUGAGACACGGCCCAAACUCCUACGGGAGGCAGCAGUGGGGAAUCUUGCACAAUGGAGGAAACUCUGAUGCAGCGAUGCCGCGUGAGUGAAGAAGGCCUUUGGGUUGUAAAGCUCUUUCGUCGGGGAAGAAAAUGACUGUACCCGAAUAAGAAGGUCCGGCUAACUUCGUGCCAGCAGCCGCGGUAAUACGAAGGGACCUAGCGUAGUUCGGAAUUACUGGGCUUAAAGAGUUCGUAGGUGGUUGAAAAAGUUGGUGGUGAAAUCCCAGAGCUUAACUCUGGAACUGCCAUCAAAACUUUUCAGCUAGAGUAUGAUAGAGGAAAGCAGAAUUUCUAGUGUAGAGGUGAAAUUCGUAGAUAUUAGAAAGAAUACCAAUUGCGAAGGCAGCUUUCUGGAUCAUUACUGACACUGAGGAACGAAAGCAUGGGUAGCGAAGAGGAUUAGAUACCCUCGUAGUCCAUGCCGUAAACGAUGUGUGUUAGACGUUGGAAAUUCAUUUUCAGUGUCGCAGCGAAAGCGAUAAACACACCGCCUGGGGAGUACGACCGCAAGGUUAAAACUCAAAUGAAUUGACGGGGACCCGCACAAGUAGUGGAGCAUGUGGUUUAAUUCGAAGAUACGCGCAGAACCUUACCAACACUUGACAUGUUCGUCGCGACUUUAAGAGAUUAAAGUUUUCGGUUCGGCCGGACGAAACACAGGUGCUGCAUGGCUGUCGUCAGCUCGUGUCGUGAGAUGUUGGGUUAAGUCCCGCAACGAGCGCAACCCUCACUUUUAGUUGCCAUCAUUAAGUUGGGCACUCUGAAAGAACUGCCAGUGAUAAGCUGGAGGAAGGUGGGGAUGACGUCAAGUCCUCAUGGCCCUUACGUGUUGGGCUACACACGUGCUACAAUGGUAUCUACAACAGGAAGCAAGACUGCGAAGUUAAGCAAAUCCUUAAAAGAUACCUCAGUUCGGAUUGCACUCUGCAACUCGAGUGCAUGAAGCUGGAAUUACUAGUAAUCGUGGAUCAGCGUGCCACGGUGAAUGCGUUCCCGGGUCUUGUACACACCGCCCGUCACACCAUGGGAGUUGGUUCUACCUUAAGGCAAGGUCUAAAACCCUUGACCACGGUAUAGUCAGCGACUGGGGUGAAGUCGUAACAAGGUAACCGUA